AUGAAUAUCCUGUCUUGGAACCGCCGGGCAGUUCGUGAGGUUUUGGCCCUCUCUAAAACCAAUAACCCCAAGCUAGUCUUUCUCUGUGAGACUAGACAAGAUGCAACUAAAGUGGAGAAGUUGAAGUGGAGAUUGCGCCUAAAGGGCUUUCAUGGUGUUAGUAGCGAUGGACAUAGUGGCGGUCUUGCACUGUUCUGGGAGGAGAUGCUUACAGUGAUAAUGCUUGAAUCAUGUAACAGAUUCAUUGAUGUUCGAGUUCUUGAUGGUUGA
rnacentral:rRNA from 1 species